UACGUAGGCAGCGAGCGUUGUUCGGAAUUACUGGGCGUAAAGAGUGUGUAGGCGGUGUUCCCAGUCUGUUGUGAAAUCUCCCGGCUUAACUGGGAGGGUGCAGCGGAAACUAGAAUGCUAGAGGGUGGGAGAGGUAAGCGGAAUUCCCAGUGUAGAGGUGAAAUUCGUAGAUAUUGGGAAGAACACCGGUGGCGAAGGCGGCUCACUGGCUCGUAACUGACGCUCAGGCGCGACAGCGUGGGGAUCAAACAGG
rnacentral:rRNA from 1 species